rnacentral:rRNA from 1 species
UACGUAGGGUGCAAGCGUUAUCCGGAAUUAUUGGGCGUAAAGAGCUUGUAGGCGGUUUGUCGCGUCUGCUGUGAAAUUUCGGGGCUCAACCCCGAACUUGCAGUGGGUACGGGCAGACUAGAGUGUGGUAGGGGAGACUGGAAUUCCUGGUGUAGCGGUGAAAUGCGCAGAUAUCAGGAGGAACACCGAUGGCGAAGGCAGGUCUCUGGGCCUGUACUGACGCUGAGGAGCGAAAGCGUGGGGAGCGAACAGG